UGGGGAAUAUUGCACAAUGGAGGGAACUCUGAUGCAGCGACGCCGCGUGAGUGAUGAAGGAAUUCGUUUCGUAAAACUCUGUUCUAUGGGAAGAAAAGGACUGUACCAUAGGAGAAAGCUCCGGCUAAAUACGUGCCAGCAGCCGCGGUAAUACGUAUGGAGCGAGCGUUGUCCGGAAUUAUUGGGCGUAAAGGGUGCGCAGGCGGCUUUACAAGUUGGAUGUGAAAUAUUGUGGCUCAACCGCAAACGUGCAUCCAAAACUGCAAAGCUUGAGUUAAGGAGAGGUAAGUGGAAUUCCUGGUGUAGCGGUGGAAUGCGUAGAUAUCAGGAGGAAUACCGGUGGCGAAGGCGACUUACUGGACUUAAACUGACGCUCAGGCACGAAAGCGUGGGGAGCAAACAGG
rnacentral:rRNA from 1 species